rnacentral:rRNA from 1 species
UACGUAGGGUGCGAGCGUUGUCCGGAAUUAUUGGGCGUAAAGGGCUCGUAGGCGGUCUGUCGCGUCGGCUGUGAAAACUCGGGGCUCAACUCCGAGCCUGCAGUCGAUACGGGCAGACUAGAGUGCUGUAGGGGAGACUGGAAUUCCUGGUGUAGCGGUGAAAUGCGCAGAUAUCAGGAGGAACACCGAUUGCGAAGGCAGCUCGCUGGGACGUUACUGACGCUGAGACGCGAAAGCGUGGGGAGCAAACAGG